rnacentral:rRNA from 1 species
CAAUAGCGUAUAUUUAAGUUGUUGCAGUUAAAAAGCCCGUAGUUGGAUUUCGGGUGGGACGCAGCGGUCUCGCAUUGCGUUUGUACUGCUGCAGCCCUCCUUCUUGCCGGGGGCGGCCUCUCGGACUUCACUGUCUGGGGGUCAGAAUCGGCGAUGUUACUUUGAGUAAAUUAGAGUGUUCAAAGCAAGCUUACGCUCUGAAUAUAAUAGCAUGGGAUAACACGACAGGACUCUGGCCUAUCGUGUUGGUCUAUAGGACCAGAGUAAUGAUUAAGAGGGACAGUCGGGGGCAUUCGUAUUCCGUUGUCAGAGGUGAAAUUCUUGGAUUUACGGAAGACGAACAUCUGCGAAAGCAUUUGCCAAGGAUGUUUUCAUUGA